rnacentral:lncRNA from 1 species
GUUUGGUAACUGACUGGGCUGGCUGGCUGGCUGGCUGGCUGAGACAGACAUACAGACAGACGGACGGACGGACGGACGGACAGACAGACAUACAGGAUGGCUGGCUGGCUGGCUGGCUGGCUGGCUGGCUGGCUGACUGACUGACUGACUGACUGAUUGGAUGACUGACUGACUGACUGACUGGAUGACAGGCUGACUGACUGAUUGGAUGACUGACUGACUGACUGACUGACUGGAUGACAGGCUGACUGACUGACUGACUGACUGACUGACUGACUGACUGAUUGGAUGACAGGCUGGCUGGCUGGCUGGCUGGCUGGCUGGCUGACUGACUGACAGACUGACUGACUGACUGACUGACUGACUGACUGGAUGACAGGCUGGCUGACUGACUGACUGAUUGGAUGACAGGCUGGCUGACUGACUGACUGAUUGGAUGACAGGCUGGCUGGCUGACUGACUGACUGACUGACUGACUGACUGACUGACUGACUGGAUGACAGGCUGACUGACUGACUGACUGACUGGAUGACAGGCUGACUGACUGACUGACUGACUGGAUGACAGGCUGGCUGACUGACUGACUGACUGACUGAUUGGAUGACAGGCUGGCUGGCUGACUGACUGACUGACUGACUGGAUGACAGGCUGACUGACUGACUGACUGACUGACUGACUGGAUGACAGGCUGGCUGACUGACUGACUGACUGACUGAUUGGAUGACAGGCUGGCUGGCUGACUGACAACUAGAGCCACCUCACCAUCCCUGCCACCAAACCCAUGUCACUGUCAAUGCUUCUAGUCUUAAGAUGACAAUAUCACUUACUUACUCCUCUUCCUAUUGGACAUGAGGCUACAAUGAGCUCCUCUUCCUAUUGGACAUGAGGCUACAAUGAGCUCCUCUUCCUAUUGGACAUGAGGCUACAAUGAGCUCCUCUUCCUAUUGGACAUAAGGCUACAAUGGACUUCUCUUUAUAUGGGCCAAAAGGCUACAAUGAGCUUCUCUUUAUAUGGGCCAUAAGGCUACAAUGAGCCAUGUUUAUAUGGGCCAUAAGGCUACAAUGGACUUCUCUUUCUAUGGGCCAAAAGGCUACAAUGAGCCAUGUUUAUAUGGGCCAUAAGGCUACAAUGGACUUCUCUUUCUAUGGGCCAAAAGGCUACAAUGAGCUUCUCUUUAUAUGGGCCAUAAGGCUACAAUGGACUUCUCUUUCUAUGGGCCAAAAGGCUACAAUGAGCUUCUCUUUAUAUGGGCCAUAAAGCUACAAUGAGCUUCUCUUUAUAUGGGCCAUAAAGCUACAAUGAGCUUCUCUUUAUAUGGGCCAUAAGGCUACAAUGAGCCAUGUUUAUAUGGGCCAUAAGGCUGCAAUGAGCUCCUGCCGUCACUCUAUAUGGCUAUGUCACUGUGCAAUGCUAUCUCGACCACCGGCUGGGAUUUCAGCUGGCCUCCCACUGCACUGCCAUAAGUGAUAAGCCAGGUGAUAUUUGUGGUGAGAAGGUCAGAUAGGCAGGAAGAUAGCUGAGGUCAUGAAGAG